rnacentral:rRNA from 1 species
GACAGAGGAGCCAAGCGUUGUCCGGAUUGACUGGGCGUAAAGCGCACGCAGGCGGAUGCGCGCGUGGGGUGUGAAAUCUGGCCGCUUAACGGCCAGGCGCCAUCCCAUACGGCGCGUCUGGAGUGAUGCAGAGGUCGAUGGAAUUGCCGGUGUAGUGGUGAAAUGCGUAGAGAUCGGCAGGAACACCCAGGGGGAAACCAGUCGACUGGGCAUCUACUGACGCUGAGGUGCGAAAGCGUGGGGAGCAAACAGG